rnacentral:misc_RNA from 1 species
GAUGAAGAACGUAGUGAAAUGCGAUAAGUAAUGUGAAUUGCAGAAUUUAGUGAAUCAUCGAAUCUUUGAACGCACAUUGCGCCCGCCAGUAUUCUGGCGGGCAUGCCUGUUCGAGCGUCAUUUCAACCAUCAAGCUCCCGGGCUUGCGUUGGGGCCCUGCGGCUGCCGCAGGCCCCUAAAACCAGUGGCGGGCUCGCUGUCACACCGAGCGCAGUAGCAUUUCUUCGCUCUGGGCGCGGCGGCGGGCUCCAGCCGUUAAAGCACCCACCUUUCGCAAGGUUGACCUCGGAUCAGGUAGGAAUACCCGCUGAACUUAAGCAUAUCAAUAAGCGGAGGA